rnacentral:rRNA from 1 species
UACGUAGGGUGCGAGCGUUGUCCGGAAUUAUUGGGCGUAAAGGGCUCGUAGGCGGUUUGUCGCGUCGGGAGUGAAAACCUUGGGCUUAACUCAGGGCUUGCUUUCGAUACGGGCAGACUAGAGGUAUGCAGGGGAGAACGGAAUUCCUGGUGUAGCGGUGAAAUGCGCAGAUAUCAGGAGGAACACCGGUGGCGAAGGCGGCCUUCUGGGCUCAACCUGACGCUGAUACGCGAAAGCGUGGGGAGCGAACCGG